UACGUAGCAGCGAGCGUUGUUCGGAGUUACUGGGCGUAAAGAGUGCGUAGGCGGUUUUCUAAGUUUGGUGUGAAAUCUCCCGGCUCAACUGGGAGGGUGCGCCGAAGACUGGAAGGCUUGAGUAUCGGAGAGGAAAGCGGAAUUCCUGGUGUAGCGGUGAAAUGCGCAGAUAUCAGGAGGAACACCGGUGGCGAAGGCGGGUCUCUGGGCCGAUACUGACGCUGAGGAGCGAAAGCGUGGGGAGCGAACAGG
rnacentral:rRNA from 1 species